GAUGAAGAACGUAGCGAAAUGCGUUACUUGGUGUGAAUUGCAGAAUCCCGUGAACCAUCGAGUCUUUGAACGCAAGUUGCGCCUCAAGCCAUUAGGUUGAGGGCACGUCUGCCUGGGCGUCACAUAUCGUUGCCUGAUGCCAGUUUCCUCGUGAUGGGUGACUGUGCAGGGCGAAUGAUGGCUUCCCGUGAGCAUUGUUGCCUCAUGGUUGGUUGAAAAUUGAGUCCUUGGUAGGGAGCGCCGUGAUAGAUGGUGGUUGAGUGACGAACGAGACCCAAUCAUGUGAGACCCCUACCGAAUUUGGCCUUCAUGACCCACAUGCGUCUUUGGAACGCUCAUGACGAGACCUCAGGUCAGGCGGGGCUACCCGCUGAGUUUAAGCAUAUCAAUAAGCGGAGGA
rnacentral:misc_RNA from 1 species